CCUACGGGAGGCUGCAGUGAGGAAUAUUGGUCAAUGGACGAGAGUCUGAACCAGCCAAGUAGCGUGAAGGAUGACUGCCCUAUGGGUUGUAAACUUCUUUUAUAUGGGAAUAAAAUGUUCCACGUGUGGGAUUUUGUAUGUACCAUAUGAAUAAGGAUCGGCUAACUCCGUGCCAGCAGCCGCGGUAAUACGGAGGAUCCGAGCGUUAUCCGGAUUUAUUGGGUUUAAAGGGAGCGUAGGUGGAUUGUUAAGUCAGUUGUGAAAGUUUGCGGCUCAACCGUAAAAUUGCAGUUGAAACUGGCAGUCUUGAGGACAGUAGAGGUGGGCGGAAUUCGUGGUGUAGCGGUGAAAUGCUUAGAUAUCACGAAGAACUCCGAUUGCGAAGGCAGUUCACUGGACUGCAACUGACACUGAGGCUCGAAAGUGUGGGUAUCAAACAGGAUUAGAUACCCUGGUAUC
rnacentral:rRNA from 1 species